AGCAUUUGUAGAAGAGGCCAUUUUGACACCUAUCAUCAUUACUGAUAACAUUUAGGCUUCUCUCUCCCUGGAGGAAAGAAUAGAGAAGUUAGCUACAUAUGUAAAUUAUCAACAAAACAUAAGCAAUAACAAUUUCUACAUCAGUGAUACAGACCUGUUGUUGUAAGGCUAUUCUCACUGAUGCAACAUGCUCUGACCACCCCAGGUUUAAUCUCACAUCACAUAAACAGUAGCUUAAGUUAUAAACAAUGAGGCAGAAUUUCAGGUGAUGGUACAAGUUUGUGCUGAUGACUCUAUA